GUACCUUCAAGCUUUGCUUGGUGUUGGGCGUCUUUUUGUCUCUCCUUUGCGGGAGACUCGCCUCAAAACGAUUGGCAGCCGGCCUACUGGUUUCGGAGCGCAGCACAUUUUUUGCGCUUUGUAUCAGGAGAAAAGGACGGUACUCCAUCAAGACGUUUACCUUUUUCACUU
rnacentral:misc_RNA from 1 species